CUUUCGCUGGUACGGUAAAAUAUAUCACCAUUGCGGUUGGUGAUAAGGUAUCUACCGGUACCCCUAUUAUGGAGUUUGAAAUUCAAGCCAGUGC
rnacentral:tRNA from 1 species